AACGAACGCUGGCGGCAGGCCUAACACAUGCAAGUCGAACGCCCGCAAGGGGAGUGGCAGACGGGUGAGUAACACGUGGGAACAUACCCUUCGGUUCGGAAUAACUCAGGGAAACUUGAGCUAAGACCGGAUACGUCCGCGAGGAGAAAGAUUCAUCGCCGGAGGAUUGGCCCGCGUCCGAUUAGCUAGUUGGUGAGGUAACGGCUCACCAAGGCGACGAUCGGUAGCUGGUCUGAGAGGAUGAUCAGCCACAUUGGGACUGAGACACGGCCCAAACUCCUACGGGAGGGCAGCAGU
rnacentral:rRNA from 1 species